rnacentral:misc_RNA from 1 species
AAAAAAAAAAAAAACUCCAUUAGAAUACAGAGAACUAAUUGAAGAAAAUCUCAGCAAACAGGAUUCACAUAUCAAUCUAUAACAAGUUUAUGAUGUGAUUAAACAACCAUAAUAUCCCAGAUUUCCCAUCCCAGGUUUCAAAUCAACAAAGAGCAUGGUCGAGCUCCGAGACACAAAAUAGUAUAAAUAAUGGAAUUUAAGCACCUUAAUUAACAGAAUAAACACAUUACCUCUCAACCACCUUUAGAAAUCAAGAUUAAGUUCGA